rnacentral:lncRNA from 1 species
CGCACUCAAGUGAGGAAUGGGGAAGGAGGGUGGAGGAAGGAGCUUGUAAAUGAGCAGCUGGUUUGCAGCAAAACCGCACCUCACUCUGCACCUUUGGAUCCCUCUCAGCCUGAGGUUAGCACAGCCAAUGUCCUCACCAGCGUCUGCCAAAGCCCAUGGAGAAGGCCAGCAGGAGCAUAUCACUGUGACUUACAACCCUUCUCUAGUCUGCUACAAUGGAAUCUUAAACAAGAAAAUUUUAUAUUUUGACUUGCAUCAUUGAGAAAAACACUGCCAACCUGAUCGUGGUUCCUUUGAAGAAUCACUGCAGCAGGUGCGAGAGAGGACUCAUGGAGCUUGCAGAUGAGCUAGCCCAGGUAGGACAUCUGAUGUUGGGACCCUCUUCAGAAGUGAAGCAUAUAUAAUCCCACAUGAAAUCUCUCAAGCCAUUCCAGAAGAAUGUUUUCUCAGAUAAAGGUUAUUUACCUAUUUAUAAUAAUUUAUAAUUUACAAAGCAUAUUCAUAUAUAUGAUCCCAUCUAACUCAUAAAAUUAUAUGAAAUGUAUACUAUCUCCAUUUUACAGAUGGGGAAAUUGAGCCUCAGAGUGAUAAAGUAACUUCCCCAAAGUCAUGUAGCUAGUAAAUGAAAGUGAUGAGACUCACACUAGGUUCUUCUAAGUUUUUAGAGUACUUCGUCCACGGCGCCAAGGUGUCUAGGGCAGAGACACCACAACCUCCUAAGGUAGGUUAUGCCAUUAAUGUUCCACUUGGGUGGGAAUACACACACACCCACACACACACUAUAAUUCACACUUCCUUAUAGUUAUAUUCCUCAUUCUUUGAACUUAAUCCAUGGUAAAGAAUUAUUUAUUAUGGUGGGGUAGAAGGAGACCCUUUGAGAUUUGAAGACACUGAUUAACCAUGUUAGUGUUUUUCCUCAGGCAAAAUAUUCAUGGGCUCUUUUACCAUAACUUGCUGUCCUUAUUUCCUCAUUAAAUUUCAAGUUUCCACAAAAUAAGAAAAGAAACAACUAAAGAAGAAAUUGUUGGAAGGCAUGGAGCAAAGUGUAAGAACAACUAAGUAAACAUGUACAUUUUGCAUUUUUAAAAAAUUCAGUGGCCAUAAUACCACUGGCCAACAGGCUGAUCAAAUAAUCCCUGAAACAAAGAGUUAUAUGUUACGGAGGGGAUUGAAUCAGAAUACAGAAAAGAGAGACUUGAGAGGUUAAGACAAAACAUCCUGGGAAAUACACCUAUUAAAAUAUGGUAACUAGCUGUUCUCCAUUUCUUUCAAGACAGAAUGGGAAAUGGAGGUAAACACAGCAAGAGUAUUAGUCGGUUAGACAACAGGAAUAUUUUGCUGAUUUUUGUUGUUGUUGUUUUGUUUUUGUUUUUGUUUUUGAGACAGUGUCUUGCUGCGACACCCA